AAGAGAGUCGAUUUUCAAUGCUGCGUGGGCAGUGUGCCAUUGCCAGGCCCUUCUUGCUACCAUUUGUAAAUCACACCACUAUUUAUCUUGUAAGCUUUUUGGAAGGAAAUCGACACUUAACACAUCACUGUUAAAGGACCUACUGAUUCCUGAUCUGGAAAUGCAAAAUCUGGAUUUCUUCUAUGGCUCAAGUCUUGGGCUUCGCCCUCUGGGGGCAGAAACCAGGAAGAGGUUAGCCCUGAAAGGCAUCCAGUGCCAGCAUCAUGGGCUGCAGGAACAUUUGUCUGGAGGAGGUCCUUGGUUCAAGCCAGAGGGGUCAGCCAUUGGACGAACUUGAGAUGAGAUUAAUUGUAAACUGGGAAUUGAUGUGUUGGAGGAGAAAAACAGGAGACAGAGCAUGCCAAAGCUGAAGAGACAAAAGAUGCCCUUCUCUGGCUGGGGGAGGUGGACCCAGGCUGUCUGGAGGCCUCUAGGAAGCUAGGAGGGCAAACUCCAUCUCUGCCACCAGCAUGCCCUGGACUGUUCCAGGAGGGCCAAGGGCUGCAAACCUGAGGUCCCCCCUGGGCUGGGGAACUCCUCUGACCUGCCCACCAGACCUGGAGACUAAGGCAGGCUCUUGACCAGACAGCACUGCCUGGGAAGCUGCAUAUAUUCCCAUCUGGGCUACUUCCUCUUCCACAUGAACUGGAUGACCAGGUAUACUGCUCAUGGAACCACCCAUUGGGAAGAUUUCCCCUGUCACUAUCUUUCAAGGCUACUCCUUGAAAUAUCCACAGUCCAAACUGACCCAUUCAUAAACCAAGCUCUGGCAGGUCUUUCAGCUGGUCAUCUGAGCCCCCUCAUAGGAAAAACCCAAUGCAAUGAUUGAGCAGGUGACAUGAGGCCCUAGGCCACUUAGUUAUGCAGCUGCCUUAGGCCUUAAAGUCUUACUUGGGUUCAAUCCCAGAUGUACCAUUGUCAAUUCAUGGUAGACUUUGCUAGGCCAUUCUGACUUUAUGACCUGACCUGGUGAAUGUGACAGAAUCUAGCUCAUCUGCAGUCCCAGAAUCAUGGUCCCUUGAUAUCUCAGAGUCAAGUGUUCCAUUCCUACCAGGAACUAGUUAUACACCUAGAGUUCCUUCUCAAAGGACAUGUAAUUUAUAAUUUGCUCACAUGGCUGGCAUGAACUUACUCCAGAAUCUCAGAGAUCUGCAUUGAGAUUUUUUUCUGGAGCUUAUCAUAAAUUCCUCACUGCCUCAAGGGAAACCCACCUCCAACAACAUAAGAUCUAAUGAAUCUGGUGGCUGUAGUGGCACUGUGACUGCAGCGGACAUAGACUUGCUGCAGAGCCCUUUCCUGCUCUGGGCCCUAUUCAAAAAUGGGAAGCCAUUGGUGUCUCUUGAUAUAUUGGCUGGAGUAACACUUCUAGGUGUGGAAUGUGGGUCAGAAUCCAAAGGGACAGAACAAAGAGCUGUGCUUCUCUCUUUUUGGCUGCGAUGCAAAACAACACUUUGUCUUUUACCUUGAUUUCACCAAUUUUUCUCUAUUCCUUUUCUGCCUAUUCCGUAAUGGAUAAGGUCCAGUGCAGUGAAUCUGCUGCCAGGUGGCCAGCGUGCUCCCUAAGGAACUCUGCAUUGGUCUUCACUGUUGCCAAAUGAGGUUCUCAACGGUGGCAGAAGACAUCUCAGCCUUGGUGGGAGGAAGUCCAUAAUGUUGAGCCCAUGAGUAGCUUCUAUCCCUGUUGCCAUGACUACUUUGGCCAUGGAUUCAUUAAGCCCUGGAGUGUCUGACUGAGAUCCAAGAAUGUGUCAGCUUAUCAGCCUGACUUUUUGAUAGCCUUCUCUGCAUUAGAUAUGCACAAGGGAAACAGACAUCCUCAAUCUAUGCCCAUUUCAGGAUGUCCAGCCUUAUACAUUUUCCAGUCUUCCUGUCCCUGAUCUUCCCUUCCUGUUCUUUCUAAUUCUCUGACCAUCCAUCCACUGUCUGUGAAUCUGUGCCAGUUUUUCUUGUCCUGAAAGAGGAGAUAACUAACCAACUAUCUCCUUCCUUCAUUUUUCCCACUGGAAGGAUUUCCCUUGACUCUUGUCUAACAUGCAUCUGAUUUGAGCUAUAAUGGCUGCAGUUCACUUCCAAUCAGAAGAUAUACUGUGUAGAACCAACAUAGGUAUACUGUGUGGAAUCAUUUGUAAAGAAGAUUUGAGUUCCCCCGCCUCGGGCAGUCUGAUCAUAAUGGAUUCUCCAUGGGAUGUCACAGGUGUGUACUGAGGAAGAGGAGGUAAUGCCACAGGACUAGGCGCUAUGGGAGUCUAAGGCUCUGAUCAUGCAAUUUAUUUGUGUCUUCAGGAACCUGAGUCCUAUCUCUUACACAUUAUUUUCACCUGAUGAUGGAUUGCUGCUGAGUAUGCUCUCAAUUUAUACAUUGCUGGACCAGAUACCACCCAGGUCAUGAUGGGCAGCUUCGUCUGUAUUGCACUUGAUGUCCCAAAUACCUCUACCAUGGCCCCAUAACAAGCUAGGAACUCUUUCCUGAAAAUAAUUGGUAUCUGAAGAAGUAAGCACAGUUUUGUCCCCAGGAGUCUGCAUUGUGUCUCUUCUCUUAGAAUUGCCUAAAGCAAGCAUCCAUAUUUGCCACUGAUAUUUUGAGUAUGGCUGGAACCGUUGGGUCACAUGACCAAGAUCUUUGUAGACCCCUUUCUUGCCUUGGGUGCAAUUCAAAACCGGCAGCCUUUGGUUAUGGUGUAAAUGGGCAGCCUAUCAGAAUCACAUGCAUAUUGCUUCUAAAAUCCCUGAAAGCCCCUGUGUUUUCAUGAUGUUUGUCUCCUCCUCCAUAGUACGCAUGUGUGUAAGGUAAUUUGUGGUGCCUGCUACUUUCUGUUCCUCAGGACUAAUUAGCAUGCCAUCGAUUAAUGGAGCAUCAUAACAAACAUGGAAUGUUAAGAUGACUAUCUUUAACUUAGAUUAUUGCAGGAAGCAAGAAAGUUGAUGUAACCCUGAGGCAAAUCCUUGCCACUUGAAAGCAAACUGCUGCUGACAGGACUAGUAA
ensembl:lncRNA